rnacentral:rRNA from 1 species
UGCCUAAUACAUGCAAGUCGAACGAACUCUGGUAUUGAUUGGUGCUUGCAUCAUGAUUUACAUUUGAGUGAGUGGCGAACUGGUGAGUAACACGUGGGAAACCUGCCCAGAAGCGGGGGAUAACACCUGGAAACAGAUGCUAAUACCGCAUAACAACUUGGACCGCAUGGUCCGAGUUUGAAAGAUGGCUUCGGCUAUCACUUUUGGAUGGUCCCGCGGCGUAUUAGCUAGAUGGUGGGGUAACGGCUCACCAUGGCAAUGAUACGUAGCCGACCUGAGAGGGUAAUCGGCCACAUUGGGACUGAGACACGGCCCAAACUCCUACGGGAGGCAGCAGUAGGGAAUCUUCCACAAUGGACGAAAGUCUGAUGGAGCAACGCCGCGUGAGUGAAGAAGGGUUUCGGCUCGUAAAACUCUGUUGUUAAAGAAGAACAUAUCUGAGAGUAACUGUUCAGGUAUUGACGGUAUUUAACCAGAAAGCCACGGCUAACUACGUGCCAGCAGCCGCGGUAAUACGUAGGUGGCAAGCGUUGUCCGGAUUUAUUGGGCGUAAAGCGAGCGCAGGCGGUUUUUUAAGUCUGAUGUGAAAGCCUUCGGCUCAACCGAAGAAGUGCAUCGGAAACUGGGAAACUUGAGUGCAGAAGAGGACAGUGGAACUCCAUGUGUAGCGGUGAAAUGCGUAGAUAUAUGGAAGAACACCAGUGGCGAAGGCGGCUGUCUGGUCUGUAACUGACGCUGAGGCUCGAAAGUAUGGGUAGCAAACAGGAUUAGAUACCCUGGUAGUCCAUACCGUAAACGAUGAAUGCUAAGUGUUGGAGGGUUUCCGCCCUUCAGUGCUGCAGCUAACGCAUUAAGCAUUCCGCCUGGGGAGUACGGCCGCAAGGCUGAAACUCAAAGGAAUUGACGGGGGCCCGCACAAGCGGUGGAGCAUGUGGUUUAAUUCGAAGCUACGCGAAGAACCUUACCAGGUCUUGACAUACUAUGCAAAUCUAAGAGAUUAGACGUUCCCUUCGGGGACAUGGAUACAGGUGGUGCAUGGUUGUCGUCAGCUCGUGUCGUGAGAUGUUGGGUUAAGUCCCGCAACGAGCGCAACCCUUAUUAUCAGUUGCCAGCAUUAAGUUGGGCACUCUGGUGAGACUGCCGGUGACAAACCGGAGGAAGGUGGGGAUGACGUCAAAUCAUCAUGCCCCUUAUGACCUGGGCUACACACGUGCUACAAUGGAUGGUACAACGAGUUGCGAACUCGCGAGAGUAAGCUAAUCUCUUAAAGCCAUUCUCAGUUCGGAUUGUAGGCUGCAACUCGCCUACAUGAAGUCGGAAUCGCUAGUAAUCGCGGAUCAGCAUGCCGCGGUGAAUACGUUCCCGGGCCUUGUACACACCGCCCGUCACACCAUGAGAGUUUGUAACACCCAAAGUCGGUGGGGUAACCUUUUAGGAACCAGCCGCCU